rfam:Colius striatus contig59642, whole genome shotgun sequence.
UUGGCCCUCAAUCAAGGCCAUCGGUUUGCUGUAGCCGUUGGUUUCAAACAGGAGCCCAGAGCAAUGUGUCCCGGUCUGUUGGUGCUCCCGUGCUCAUGGAGCGGCCAAUUCGUGUGGGAGCCACAGGA